rnacentral:rRNA from 1 species
UACGUAGGGGGCAAGCGUUGUCCGGAUUUACUGGGCGUAAAGGGUGCGCAGGCGGCCUGGCGCGUCGCGAGUGAAAUCUCCUGGCUCAACUGGGAGGGUGGUCGCGAGACGGCUGGGCUUGAGGCUCGGUGAGGGGCGUGGAAUUCCGGGUGGAGCGGUGAAAUGCGUAGAUAUCAGGAGGAACACCAAUUGCGAAGGCAGCUCGCUGGGACGUUACUGACGCUGAGACGCGAAAGCGUGGGGAGCAAACAGG